GCAGUCAGUUGUGGACACGUGGGCCGCAUGGCUGAUCCUCCGGCAGACGACGCGAGCACAGGAAGACCGUUACGAAGGGCUCUGACGACACGCUGCGCCUUACUCGUAUUCGUGGUCAUAGGUAGCCUGUUGUUCCUUGGUGGAAUGUUUUUCAAGUUCGUCUCUAGCUCCACAGAUGACAGAAAUUUCAGCACGCAGAGGCACAGCAACACUCGUGUCUGAUAGUAUUACUUGAUAGACACCUCACCAUCUGGUGAUUAAUACAGGUUAACAGUAAGACAUCUGUGUCGGCGAGAGUGGUGUGGCUUCGGCUGCUGCAUGCAUAACAUACCAGGAAUCGUCAUCGCCACGCGUACAAUGGCUGCCGCCUUCUGCUGCCCAUGUUCAUCUCUCCGCAGCAGAUUCCCUGCAAAGAGCGUAUGGGCGCCCAACACCAAAGCCAGCCUGUAUUUAGUGUGACAUUCCUAACCUUACUACAGUGAGAAUGGCAGACGGCACCAUAAUACUCGCAAUGGCUCAUGUUUCACCUCUGUAGGCAAUGUACUCGCUUAGGAUUCGAUGUGAACAUAUGUAAAUUCUUGAGCUGUUUGCGGCAGUGUCAGCUGCUCGUCAACGAUGAACGUAUCUUGCAGAUCAGAGUUAACCCAUUAACGGAAAGUAAUUCUGUAUCGAAUAUCGUCUUGUGAAGGCAAAAGCAGUUUUGAUUGAAUAUUUUCGUAAGCACUGACUCUGUGGGAACAGCAAUGUUGUUAACCCGUGGAAGGCAUCAUGUAUAAAAUGAGACCUCUAAACAGUACUAAUGCUCAGAGGAACUAUGUUCUUAUGUAAAAAACUCCUUACUUUAUACUUUAUUGCAUUUAUACUUCUUCCUUAUGUUAAUUAUUGUUAUUAAUUUUAAAUUUAAUCGCCUAAUCAUUUUCAUCUUAAUCGUUUUUGAGUAUUAAGUAUUGUCUUGAUUAAUUUAAGGUACUCAUUAGUAUUUUAUAUAGUUACUCCUCGAUAUCUGUGUUCUACAAUAUCUCUUUCCCAAAACUGUCAUCCAGUGGGUCUGCAUCUACAUUUAUUCUGUUCAAACCAAUAUAAAGUGCAUGGUAGAAGGUACAUGCCAUUGUACCACUUAUUAGGAUUAUAUCUCAUUCCAUCUGUGAAUGGAGUGCAGGAUCAGUAAUUGCUUAAACGCAUAAUUGUGGUCGUUUCGGAACCGUUAGGUAUCGGUUCUAACAUUUUUGUAGAUUCCUUACUUUAAACUGUUCCUUGGUACAGGCAUUCGCUGGAUAGCUGACGUCUGUAUUCCAGCUUGUACCGCAACUCGUGUCUUAUCCCUGUGGCGUAUUUUCAUGGGUCCAAAACGUGUGAUCAUUUGUGCUGCCCUAAUUUGUAUACUAUUUUUCUAGUAUCACAGUGUUAAUGGGUCGAGCUGUAGCAGGCUCAGUGCCUUCUACAGAGUGCUGAGACCCUAGUACUGACCAUUGCCAGACAACCCCCCUGCCGAUAAAGCAACGCCGGAAAAGCCAUCGCUUCCGUACUGUUGUUUCUGUAUGCCAAGAAACUGGAACAGUAACCAGUCUCGAAGAAGAUUUUGCAGUCUAACACACCGUCAUAUGACAACAGACAUACGACAAUCACCGACCCUGACCGAGUCGUUUACAAAAUGCGCAGAAAUGCAUUCCUUCCGCAAAGACAGCACCGAGCAUUUGAGUUUAACCUCCUACCGUAUCAAUUAUCGUCGGGCCACCUGGGCAACAUAGCUGCACUCAGUCUCAAGUCUGCAUCUUAACAAUGUCGCACGGCUGGCACUGGGCUCCAAACCACGGACCAUUGCCUAACUGUUCAGACCUCUGGCAGCCAUCGCUUUUCUGCCAUCUCAAGGACAUUGGUCGCCAAUGUUAUUGCCGCCACAAAAUGGCCAAGGCGUUAAUUGACAACGUACCAGCACUGUGCUCUCGGAGUCUUUCCGCCACCCACAGCCACUGUCCAGCCUCCAGUGUUGAACACCAGGCAGCAUCGUGACCUGACACAAGUCAGAAGACGACACUGCCUUGCCCUGUACAGUACUGGGCUGCGACCAGGGCCUUGCCUGGCACUGUCGACUGAGCUCCCAGCGUGCUGGCGUCCUGACAGUGUCCGUUAGCUACAAUCUGGGAGCAGCCACGCCCGCCGGUACAAGUUGGAAUGUUACGAGCCGAUGCAAAACUGCUCCAAUGGUAAGAAAUGACUUUCCAAGUUCAAUGAAUUACUAGGGGACUAUUUUACGUUCAUCAUCGUGUUUACCCACCGACAGGUCCGCCGUCUGAAGUCAAAACGAUGUAGCGUUUUGUUGAAAGUAGUUAAAAAUAAAUACUGUGUGUUCUGUUUCUUACGUAGAUGAGAUACUUUUAGUAAUUGGAACUUCGUUUCUUAAAUUAAGUUUCUUGCCAUAAGAUACACUGAAGAGCCAAAGGAACUGGUACAGCUGCCUAAUACCAUGUAGGCCCCACAAGAGCAAGCGGAAGUUCUGCGACACGACGUGGCAUGGACUCGACUAAUGCCUAAAGUAGUGCAGCAUGGAACUGACACCAUGAAUCCAGCAGGGCAAUCUAUAAAUCCAUCAAAUUACUAGGGGGUGGAGAUCUCAUCUGAAUAGCACGUUGCAAGGCAUCCCAGAUAUGCCCCAUACUGUGCAUGUCCGGAGAGUUUGAUGGCUAGCGGAAGUGUUUAAACUCAGAAGAGUGUUCACGGAGUCACUCUGUAGCAAUUCUGGACGAAUGGGGUUUCGCACUGCCCCGCUGGAAUAGCCCCAAGGCCGUUGGAAUGCACAGUGAACAUGGUUCAAAUGGCUCUGAGCAUUAUGGGACUCAACUGCUGUGGUCAUCAGUCCCCUAGAACUUAGAACUACUUAAACCUAACUAACCAAAGGACAUCACACACGGCCAUGCCCAAGGCAGGAUUCGAACCUGAGACCGUAGCAUGGUUGCAGGUAUCAUACAGGAUGCUUACGUACGUGUCACCUGUCAGAGUCGUAUCUGGACGUAUCAGCGGUCCCAUAUCACUCCAACUGCACACGCCUCACACCAUUACAGAACCUUCACCAGUUUGAACAGUUUCCUGCUCACAUGCAAGGUCCAUGGAUUCAUGAGGCUGUCUCCAUAGUGGUACACGUCCAUCGAUACAAUUUGAAACGAGAAUCGUUCGACCAGACAGCAUGUUUCCACUCAUCAACAGUCGCAUGUCGGACCGGCCCCAGCGACGUAUAAAAGUUUGUGUCAUGCAGUCGCGAAGGGUACACGAGUAGGCCUCCGGCUCUGAAAGCCCACAUCGAUGAAGUUUCAUUGAAUGUUUCACACGCUGACGCCUGUUGAUGGCCCAGAAUUCAAAUCUGCGGCAAUUUGCGGAAGGGUGGCACUUCUGUCACGUUCAACGAUUCUCUUCAGUCGUCGUUGGUCCCGUUCUUGCAGGAUCUAUUUCCGGCCGUACUAAUGUCGGAGAUCUGAUGUUUUAGCGGAUUCCUGAUGUUCACGGUACACUCGUGAAAUGUUCGUAGGGGAAAGUCCCCACUUCAUCUCUACCUCGGAGAUGCUGUGUUCCAUCGCUCGUGCAUCGACUAUAACGCCAAGUCCAAUCUCGCUUAAACCUUGAUAACCUGCCAUUGUACUAGCAGUUACCGAUCUAACAACUGCGCCGGACACUUGUUGUCUUAUAUAGGCGUUGCCGACCGCAGCACCGUAUUUUACCUGUUUCCAUAUUUUAAAUACGCAUGCCUAUACCAAUUUCUUUGGCACUUCAAUGUAUUUUAGCUACUGCUAUCAAACAGAUCUCCGGUUGCCUCUGUAAUUGUUUGAAUAAACUGUGCCACCUUAUCUGCAUUCCACUGUGUAUAGUGCAUGUUUAAAGUCUGCACUCUACUUGUUUAGAUGAAUGGUUACACGAUAAUUCUGCUCGUCAGAUUGUGUUAUUCUUUAAGUACAAUUCGUAAAAGAAUUUUUCUCGCCAUAAAUUAGAUUGUUUUAAUAACAUCACUUUCGUGACUAGAUCUACUGCAAUUAUUUAAAGUUGUUGGCUAUUAAAAACAUAGUGGCUGUAUGCUUCUUGUAAUGUUUAAAUUGUUCGUGGUGUUUGUUUUAAUUACAA